rnacentral:rRNA from 1 species
UACGAAGGGGGCUAGCGUUGCUCGGAAUCACUGGGCGUAAAGGGUGCGUAGGCGGGUCUUUAAGUCAGGGGUGAAAUCCUGGAGCUCAACUCCAGAACUGCCUUUGAUACUGAAGAUCUUGAGUUCGGGAGAGGUGAGUGGAACUGCGAGUGUAGAGGUGAAAUUCGUAGAUAUCUGGAGGAACACCGGUGGCGAAGGCGGCAUCCUGGACCGGCAUUGACGCUGAUGAGCGAAAGCCAGGGGAGCAAACGGG